AUAGCAAUUGCAAUCAAAUGAAUCUGUUUGAUAAGCAAUAUCAAAUUGAAAAACAACAAUCAAAUAACAAAUUUCAAUUUGAAAUUACCUUAACCCUUCGAUCAAACCUGCAAACAGAUCUUGCGAUAUGAAAAUAGAACAGAUCUUAUGAAUUGAAGUCAAGAUCCCUCUUUCGUUUCUCAGAAAAAGAUGAUAAGCGAGAGAUCCAACGAAUGAGAGAGUGAGAAAGAAAGAGAUCGAAAGAGGGAAAGAGAGAGCUAUCGAAGCUGCUUCUUCUUCUUGUUGAAUUGAUGAUCGAGAGAGAAAGAGAGAGAACGAAGGAAGGAAGAAGAUGAGUUUAUAUUAAUUGAAUCGGUGGCGAUAGAACUCUUGACUCCUCCUUAAUUGUUUGAUGAAAUGCCCAAAUU
rnacentral:lncRNA from 1 species